UACGGAGGGUGCAAGCGUUGUUCGGAAUCAUUGGGCGUAAAGCGCGUGUAGGCGCUCAUCUAAGUCUGGUGUGAAAGCCCGAGGCUUAACUUCGGAAGUGCACUGGAUACUGGUUGACUAGAGGAUGAGAGAGGAAAGUGGAAUUCACGGUGUAGGGGUGAAAUCCGUAGAUAUCGUGAGGAACGUCGGUGGCGAAGGCGACUUUCUGGCUCAUUUCUGACGCUGAGACGCGAAAGCGUGGGGAGCAAACAGG
rnacentral:rRNA from 1 species